UGGGGUGUGGCUCAGUGGUAUAGUAUCUGCUUAGCAUGCAGGAUGCCCUGAAUUUUAUUUUCAGAUUUCCAA
rnacentral:tRNA from 1 species